GAAAAAUCUCUUCAAAAUAAAAGUCCAUAUAAAUUCAAGUGCCAAAUAUCUCUUCAAAAUAAAAAUCCAUAUAAAUUCAAGUGCCAUCAAAAAUCGACCCAAGACCCUAAUAACAUAUAAAGUCUUUGGAGAACUUUUCCUCCUUGAUACAAUCGAGAUCCUAUGGAAAGGAUAACGUUGUCCACUUCAACCUAGCGCAGCCACUUCUAGCAUUGAUAGAAAUAGAUACUUCCCAUGAUAAAUGAUAAGACAAUCACAAUAAACUGUUGAUUGUCAAGUAGACUUGGGUCUAUCCAAUGUUGAGAUUGGAGGUACUUUUCUAAAUUACACGCAAACACCUGAAUGGCAGCAUGAAUAUAAAAUGUGUGCCAAUCUAGUUGUGGUGCCCAAACACUGAUUUAUAUCCAAUGGUGAGAAGUUUGGUUGGGAGCUUGACUAAGGUUUAGCAUUGAAUUGUUUUGAUAUUUCUUUAACUUGUGAAUUUUCAGGUUUUUUUUUUUAUUUUGCGGAGGGCCAUUGUUGUCAUUUCCCUCUUUGGGGUUUAUUUCUUAGUCUUUGUUGGUCUAAGGGAAAAAAUUAAUCCUUUUGAUUUUCUAGGGGAGUCUAAACCCUUAGAGGAUUAGGACUAGUUUUACGAGUCGAAGAGUCCAAUCACUUAAAGGUUUGGAGUUGCAUUGAACCCAGUUUUCCUCAAUUUCACAAGUAAAUUUUGAUAUAAUUCAUGUAAGAACUCUGUUCCGUCAAACUGUAAGCAAAUAUCAUCAUUUUUGUAAAUUUCCCCAGAACUCUGUUAAUGGUACUAUUCACAGUGGCCAAACCUGUGCUGCAAACAAGCCCUAAAACUUCUUCUUUUUUGAGAGGAAGGAAAUGAUGAAAAUGUAUUUGGACUCUGCAUGAUCGAAGAAAUAUAACUAGCCCUUAUCCAACGUAUAUCUCUGAGAUGCUUCCCAUAUUUACUUUACAUUUAUUGGGACAUUUCAGGCAAAGGAGUUUAAACAUGCUCCUAUCGGCAUUGUUUCAGUAAUUGUCAAAAUGAUCAAUUUCAAUAAACAGUGGAAUGUUAAAUAAUUUUUUAGAUGUCUGUAGUUUUAGACUGGUUUUUUGACACUAUGGCACCAUAAGGGCUUUUGUAGAGGCACUAACUUGAGUUCUCAAUAAAUUGUGAGGAGCACCCACACGCUUAGCCUAAUGGUAAGUUUAUAUCUCAACAUGAGCAAGGUUCCAAGUCUGAGCCCCCCAUCUUUGUAAACCAAAAUCUUUUUUCAGAAAAAAAAAAU
rnacentral:misc_RNA from 1 species